GGACUACACGGGUUUCUAAUCCUGUUUGCUACCCACGCUUUCGUGUUUCAGCGUCAGUUACGGUCCAGAAAGCCGUCUACACCACCGGUGUUCCUCCUGAUAUCUACGCAUUUCACCGCUACACCAGGAAUUCCACUUUCCCUUCCCGCACUCUUGUCAGACAGUUUGUAGCGCACCCUCCCAGUUGAGCCGGGAGAUUUCACACCACACUUAUCCAACCGCCUACGCACCCUUUACGCCCAGUAACUCCGAACAACGCUUGCCGCCUACGUAUUACCGCGGCUGCUGGCAC
rnacentral:rRNA from 1 species